ACCAAAAAUAGUUCAAGAGAAUGGGUUGCAUUUCUGAUUGCGCGAAGCUCUGCAGACUCAUCAGCGACUCUCUCCUUUCUCACACUGUCACUGUAAGGAAAGAGAAGGAGAAGAAUCUUAUGAUCAUUCUCUCUCAGGUUUCAAAAGAAAUUCGUAGCUGGGAGAAUCUCCACAACUGCAAUCCAGAUGUCUACGAUUAAUCUUCUCGUGCUCAUAUCCGACCUCCUUACUACAUCGGUUGAGAAAUGGUGUGGAUUUCUUCAAUAUUUGUGCGUAUGCUUGAAACAGGGGAUUUCCUCUAUUAAUUCAAACACAUUAUUGGCUUCGACGGUUGAAAACAAUGAAUUAGAUGGUUAUACCUUUACUUUGUCUUUGGCUGGACAAGGAGGAGGAUCCGGAAAUGAGAACUGGUUAACAUUGGCUUGUGUAAUUCAAGUGUUACGUAGUAUCUUGAAAUGUCUGAAUCAAGAUGAUGAUGAUGAACUUAUGGAGAUGUAUGUCCAUUCUGUUAGCUGUCGUCUUAUGGAUAUUUCAUGGGAUUUUCUGAACAAUUUUAAGAUUAGUGAACCACAGAUGAUGUCUAUGUCGAAUGCCGUGGGCCAUGGAAAAGUUUGUUCUUCGAAGUCUAGGUUUCUAUUUCUGGGAGCCCUGCUUCAACUUUUAUGCUCCUUGUCUCAGCAAAGCAAUUUUGUGGAAGACGGUGGUGGUUCCUAGGAUAAGCACUGUCUUAAUUUUAUAGCCAUCUUGGUUCCUACGCUUUUGGACUCGUGUUACUACAAGGAAGGAGAUUAUAACUAUAUGUUUGGUUCUCAGUACUUGAGACACAAGAUACUGAUGCUAAUGGUCAGACUAAGUUCACUAAUCCAAUGGGAGUGCUCCACUCUUAUUAUGUGGUUGCAAUUGCUUCGAGAAUACUGCGGUGAUGUUCUUCACCAAUCCAUAUCUGGCCAUCAGAUAGGCCAGAGUGAUAGUCUUGAAGGUUCUCCAUUUCAGGCUGAUGUUCUGUGUGGAAAAGUGCAUAAGAUACGUAUGCCACAUUUACAAAGACAAACCAUUUUUCUUUUCCUGAGAUGCUCUUUCAAUUUGAUCAGGCUUAAUAAAGAAACUGAUGUGAAAUGCUCAUGUCCAUCGUCAAAUUUUUGUUUGACCCAUGAGAUGCAAUAUGCGCAGAAGUGUUGCAAUAAGAAGAAAGGUUGGUCAGCACUUUCUGAGUGGCUACAGAGGCAUGUAUCUACGGAGAUAAUUAUGGAUGGUGGAAUAUACUUGGAUAAGUGUAGGACCUUUGCCUUAUCCUUCUUGUGGCUAUUUAUUGAUGAGGAUGACUUUCUGUUCGAAGUUCUCUUGCAGUUAUGGAGUAUACCUUUCCCCGACAUGCGAGUGGUGCACAUUGGAAAAGGCAAGGCCUCGUCAGAAAUAGAGGAGGAAAUCCUCUAUCAUCUUUCAAACAUACUAAACCCUGUACAACUUUUCCAUCUAUUCCUCUCAGAGUUACAAUAUGAUCACCAAGUGCUUCUCGAUUACCUCAUUUCGAAAGACACAGGAGUUAAUUGUGUAAAGUAUCUCUUAAGGUGCUUGCGUACAGUUAGCAACUCAUGGCAAGCAUUUGUGGAGUAUCCAUUUCAUUGUGUUGAAACGAGUCAGUCUACCACCAAGAAAUGUAAGGUUCACAAGGAAGGUGCAGAUUCUUGUGGGAAAAUUGAAACCCCAUCAUUGUCAAUAGGAGCGAGGAAGGAUAUUGAGCACUGUAGAAGAAAGCAAUUUUUUUUCAAUAGGGAUGAUAAUCAAAUGAGAGGAACUGUUUAUAAUGACGCCAAAGAGUGUUUGCUUUCUCUCGAAAGAUCCAUCAGAAGUCUUCAUGAGAAGAAUUUGUUUCCAUAUAAUCCUGCUCCACUUCUUAGAAGUUUCAAAAGAUUUCAGGAACUCUGCCACCAGGAAGAGGAAUCUAACCGUAAAAGAUAGGAGGGCGAAUCCUAUGAUUCGCUUCUGAUUGGUUUAGCUGAUCAUAUAUGGGAUGUUUUACUCCACGCACGAGGUCUCUGAUCAAAGUGAUGGCCUUAGCUAUAUCUCAUUAUUGGAUUUAUGAUUCCAAUGACCCACUUUAUCCGGAUCAUCAAGCUUGUGGAUUCAUUGUUAGGAAAUACUGGAGACUAUCUUUUUGCUGUAGCUGGAGGUUUGGGAGUAGCUACAACUUAUUUUGUUGACAUAAAUGGUUGUAUUGUGUGCUGGUGAAUGUUUCACUCAGAUAAAUUGGCAAAAGUAGGUGGUGGUUUUCCAGGGGACGAAGUACAAUUCUACAUAUGUCACAAGUGGUUAAAUGGAAUCAAACACCUCUUCAUUUUCUUGACUAAGAUGGAUUAAGAAUGUAUUAUUUGUAUGUUUCAGCUGUCAAGUCAUGUGUCAUCAUGCUAGAAGCUGUCCAGAUUCAAUGUAUCUCCUUUUACUUUCUUCUUUAUAAAAGAAGCUAAUCAACCCUUGUUUUCUAAGACCAUUUUAUUCAGUUCAGAUUUCAACAGUGA